UACGGAGGGCGCGAGCGUUAAUCGGAAUUACUGGGCGUAAAGCGCGCGUAGGCUGUCGUGUAAGUUGGGGGUGAAAUCCCACGGCUCAACCGUGGAACAGCCCUUGAUACUGCGCGACUUGAAUCCGGGAGAGGGUGGCGGAAUUCCAGGUGUAGGAGUGAAAUCCGUAGAUAUUUGGAGGAACAUCAGUGGCGAAGGCGGCCACCUGGACCGGUAUUGACGCUGAGGCGCGAAAGCGUGGGGAGCAAACAGG
rnacentral:rRNA from 1 species